GAAAUGAAUCUGACCAGCAUCCAUGAGGACAUGGCUUUGAUCCCUGGCCUCGCUUAGUGGGUUAAGGAUCUGGCAUUGUGGUGAGCUGUGGUGUAGGUCACAGACGGGGCCUCUGCCACCAUGGAAGUGCUCCACCCCCAAGGCUAUUGUGAACAAAGGGUAAUCCAAGCACUUCUGGGGAGCUCACCUUUCCCUAGCUGUGGAUGAACAAAUCAGAACAUUGUGAGAAGUCAGAUGUCUUCUUCCUUUUGAGGACUGCACACAAGGGAUCCCCCUUCACCCACCUGGGUUUGGCCCACAAGGCUGGGUCCCUUCCUCCAUGUUCCCUUCACGUGUUCCAAGAUUUGGAUCAUACAGUAAAGGAGAGAUGAAAGAGCAGUGAAAGAUGUACCCAUCCAUGACAGAGGAAACUGACCUGGGCUUGGUCCCAGGACUUGCUGACACAUGCUGUAACGUGGAUGAACCUUGAAAAUGUCAUGUUAGGUGAAGAAGCCAGUCAUAAAAGACCUCUUAGAGGUCAGAGUUCCUGUCGUGGCUCAGUGGUUAACGAAUCCAACUAGGAACCACGAGGUUGCGAGUUUGAUCCCCGGCCUUGCUCAGUGGGUUAAGGAUCCAGUGUUGCCGUGAGCUGUGGUGUAGGUCACAGACGCGGCUCGGAUCCUGAGUUGCUGUGGCUGUGGUGUAGGCCAGUGGCUACAGCUCCAAAUACACCUCUAGCCUGGGAACUUCCAUAUGCCGUGGGUGCAGCCCUAGAAAAAGGCAAAAAG
rnacentral:lncRNA from 1 species